AUUGAACGCUGGCGGCAGGCCUAACACAUGCAAGUCGAACGAGUGGCGGACGGGUGAGUAAUGUCUGGGAAACUGCCUGAUGGAGGGGGAUAACUACUGGAAACGGUAGCUAAUACCGCAUACCAUCAGAUGUGCCCAGAUGGGAUUGGCUAGUUGGUGGGGUAACGGCUCACAAAGGCGACGAUCCCUAGCUGGUCUGAGAGGAUGACCAGCCACACUGGAACUGAGACACGGUCCAGACUCCAACGGGAGGCAGAAGUGGGAAAUAUUGCACAAGGGGCGAAAGCCUGAUGCAGCCAUGCCGCGUGUAUGAGGAAGGCCUUCGGGUGGUAAAGUACUUUCAGCGGGGAGGCGUUACCCGCAGAAGAAGCACCGGCUAACUCCGUGCCAGCAGCCGCGGUAAUAC
rnacentral:rRNA from 1 species